rnacentral:rRNA from 1 species
GACGAACGCUGGCGGCGUGCUUAACACAUGCAAGUCGAACGGAAAGGCCUGCUUUCCCUUGUGGAUUGCGGGUACUCGAGUGGCGAACGGGUGAGUAACACGUGAGUGAUCUGCCCCCAACUUGGGUAUAAGCCUGGGAAACUGGGUCUAAUUCCCGAUAGGACUGCAGGGUGGUGCCUGUGGUGGAAAACGAUUUUCUAGUGGUUGGGGAUGAGCUCGCGGCCUAUCAGCUUGUUGGUGGGGUAAUGGCCUACCAAGGCGGCGACGGGUAGCCGGCCGGGGAGGGUGGACGGCCACAUUGGGACUGGGAUACGGCCCAGACUCCUACGGGAGGCAGCAGUGGGGAAUAUUGCACAAUGGGCGGAAGCCUGAUGCAGCGACGCCGCGUGGGGGAUGACGGCCUUCGGGUUGUAAACUCCUUUCGACCGCGAGGAAGCCACCUGGUUGGAAGGGUGGUGACGGUAGUGGUAGAAGAAGCACCGGCUAACUACGUG